rnacentral:rRNA from 1 species
ACGAACGCUGGCGGCGUGCUUAACACAUGCAAGUCGAACGGAAAGGCCCUGCUUUUGUGGGGUGCUCGAGUGGCGAACGGGUGAGUAACACGUGAGUAACCUGCCCUUGACUUUGGGAUAACUUCAGGAAACUGGGGCUAUACCGGAUAGGAGCCCCUGCUGCCUGGUGGGGGGUGGAAAGGUUCGGCGGUUGGGGAUGGACUCGCGGCUUAUCAGCUUGUUGGUGGGGUAGUGGCUUACCAAGGCUUUGACGGGUAGCCGGCCUGAGAGGGUGACCGGCCACAUUGGGACUGAGAUACGGCCCAGACUCCUACGGGAGGCAGCAGUGGGGAAUAUUGCACAAUGGGCGGAAGCCUGAUGCAGCAACGCCGCGUGCGGGAUGACGGCCUUCGGGUUGUAAACCGCUUUCGCCUGUGACGAAGCGUGAGUGACGGUAAUGGGUAAAGAAGCACCGGCUAACUACGUG